rfam:Sus scrofa chromosome 10.
UCCCUGGUAGUCUAGUGGUUAGGACUCAGCACUUUUACUGUUGCAGCCUGGGUUCAACUCCUGGUCUGGGAA